rnacentral:misc_RNA from 1 species
GUAAACAUGUAGGACUGUAUUUUUUUUGGGGGUACGCAGAAGAUCUAGAGGCUCUGUGUAAUCUUUGAAUUGGUUAAUUCGGCCUUCAGCUGCAGCAUUGUACCAUUUACGAUCCAUGAAAGUGAUGAUGUGUUUUUGUUUGGGCUGAUUAUUGGUCUCAGAUGCUAAUUGAAUUUCUAGCAAAUCUUGGCAUUCCGCCAUAAAUGUAGGUAGCUAGAGGUCGCUAGCUAGUAAAGUUGAGCAAUGAAAAAUAAUGAGCAGGAAAAAGCUUUUACAGCAUGAUUUGAGAUAUUUCUCUUCACAAGUUAUAACACAAACUUGC